rnacentral:rRNA from 1 species
CAGUCGCCGCGGUAAUACGAAGGAUGCAAGCGUUAAUCGGAAUUACUGGGCGUAAAGCGUGCGUAGGCGGUGAGUUAAGUCUGCUGUGAAAUCCCCGGGCUCAACCUGGGAAUGGCAGUGGAUACUGGCUCGCUAGAGUGUGUCAGAGGAUGGUGGAAUUCCCGGUGUAGCGGUGAAAUGCGUAGAGAUCGGGAGGAACAUCAGUGGCGAAGGCGGCCAUCUGGGACAACACUGACGCUGAGGCACGAAAGCGUGGGGAGCAAACAGGAUUAGAUACCCGAGUAGUCCCUGUCUCUUAUAC